rnacentral:lncRNA from 1 species
GCUGAUAUGUUUGUUUUUUUCUAUACGUGUGUGGGUCUUAUUUGUAACCAUUAGAGUAACCUUUUACCAUUCAGAAACUCUUGCAGGAGGAGAUAUAAAUGUCAAGGUCAGCAUUAAUAUGCAUUUACAGAUCCAAGGCUAAUUUUGCUGGAGAUCAAAUUUUUAUGGUAUGACGAUUUUCCUGACAGACUUAUAGCAUUGUUUACAAUGUUCCAACAAUAGUUGGAUGCCCA